GACGAACGCUGGCGGCGUGCUUAAUACAUGCAAGUCAACUGAACUUAAGAUAGCAAUAUUUUAAGGGAGGUGGCGCACGGGUGAGUAACACGUAGGUAAUCUGCCUUUAGGUCUGACACAACCCCGAGAAAUCGGGGCUAAUAUCAGAUGAUGCAGCGGCUCGACAUCGAGACAGUUGUUAAACCUUCGGGGCCUAAAGAUGAGCCUGCGUCUGAUUAGGUAGUUGGCGGAGUAAAAGCCCACCAAGCCUGCGAUCAGUAGCUGGUCUGAGAGGAUGAUCAGCCACACUGGAACUGAGACACGGUCCAGACUCCUACGGGAGGCAGCAGUAAGGAAUAUUGGACAAUGGAGGCAACUCUGAUCCAGCCAUGCCGCGUGAAGGAUUAAGGCCCUAUGGGUUGUAAACUUCUUUUAGACGGGACAAAACCCUUUACGUGUAAAGGGUUGAUGGUACUGUCAGAAUAAGCAUCGGCUAACUUCGUGCCAGCACG
rnacentral:rRNA from 1 species